AUUGAACGCUGGCGGCAGGCCUAACACAUGCAAGUCGAGCGGAUGAAGGGAGCUUGCUCCUGGAUUCAGCGGCGGACGGGUGAGUAAUGCCUAGGAAUCUGCCUGGUAGUGGGGGAUAACGUCCGGAAACGGGCGCUAAUACCGCAUACGUCCUGAGGGAGACAGUGGGGGAUCUUCGGACCUCACGCUAUCAGAUGAGCCUAGGUCGGAUUAGCUAGUUGGUGGGGUAAAGGCCUACCAAGGCGACGAUCCGUAACUGGUCUGAGAGGAUGAUCAGUCAGACUGGAACUGAGACACGGUCCAGACUCCUACGGGAGGCAGCAGUGGGGAAUAUUGGACGAUGGGCGAAAGCCUGAUCCAGCCAUGCCGCGUGUGUGAAGAAGGUCUUCGGAUUGUAAAGCACUUUAAGUUGGGAGGAAGGGCAGUAAGUUAAUACCUGGCUGUUUUGACGGUACCAACAGAAUAAGCACCGGCUAACUUCGUG
rnacentral:rRNA from 1 species